AGGGGCGGUUCAGGAACCUGG
rnacentral:misc_RNA from 1 species